rnacentral:rRNA from 1 species
UACGUAGGCAGCGAGCGUUGUUCGGAUUCACUGGGCGUAAAGGGUGCGCAGGCGGCCAAGUGUGUGAGGCGUGAAAGCCUGGAGCUUAACUCCAGAAUUGCACCUCAAACUACAUGGCUAGAGCAUUGGAGAGGGUAGCAGAAUUCACGGUGUAGCAGUGAAAUGCGUAGAUAUCGUGAGGAAUACCAGAGGCGAAGGCGGCUACCUGGACAAUUGCUGACGCUCAGGCACGAAAGCGUGGGGAGCAAAAGGG